rnacentral:tRNA from 1 species
GGGAUAGCUCAGUCAGUAGAGCAUGAGACUCUUAAUCUCAGGGUCUUGGGUUCAAUCCCCAUGUUGGGCCA